rnacentral:rRNA from 1 species
ACGCUGGCGGCGUGCCUAACACAUGCAAGUCGAACGGAGCACUUCGGUGCUUAGUGGCGAACGGGUGAGUAACGCGUGAGAAACCUGCCUUUCAGUGGGGGACAACAGUGGGAAACUACUGCUAAUACCGCAUAAUGUUAUUUGGGGGCAUCCCUGAAUAACCAAAGAUUUAUUGCUGAAAGAUGGGCCCGCGUCUGAUUAGCUAGUUGGUGAUGUAACGGACCACCAAGGCGACGAUCAGUAGCCGGCCUGAGAGGGUGAACGGCCACAUUGGGACUGAGACACGGCCCAAACUCCUACGGGAGGCAGCAGUGGGGAAUAUUGCACAAUGGGGGAAACCCUGAUGCAGCGACGCCGCGUGAGUGAAGAAGUAUUUCGGUACGUAAAGCUCUAUCAGCAGGGAAGAAAAUGACGGUACCUGACUAAGAAGCCCCGGCUAACUACGUG